AAAAAGAUAAGCUAAUUAAGCUAUUGGGUUCAUACCCCGCUUAUAAAGGUUGUAAUCCUUUUCUUUUUA
rnacentral:tRNA from 1 species